GCCCGUGCCUCUCCCUCCACACCUCCCCGCAACUGAGGGAGCCGGCUCCGGCCUCGGCCAGCCCAGAAAGGGGCUCACACAGUGCAGGGCCGGGCUGAAGGGCUCCUUAAGGGCGGCCAGAGUUGGCGCCAAGGCUGAGGAGGUGCCCAGAGCGAGCGAGGGCUGCCAGGGCUGCUAGCAGGCUGUCACCUCUCAAUAGCAGUUUUGUAUAUGGGAUCUAGCCCCUCCCUAAGAGGUUGAUUCUAAGGAAGCCAACAGCCGUGUUGUGAGUACCCAAUGGAAAGUCUGUUGUGGCAGAAAACUGAUGUCUCCAGCCAACAGCACUGAGGCCCUGAGACCUGCCAACUGUCAUGAUCUUCCGAUGCCUGGACACAGAAAGAGCAGUGGAAGGGGUCGUUGCAUGAGCAAAGACAAAGAGUGGGACACUGACUGUUACAUCUCAAGGAGAAGGAUUGCCAGAUCAAAAGUCUUGCAGUUAACCAGGCGUGGUGGCAGAUACCUGUAAUCCCAGCUAUUCGGGAGGCUGAGGCAGGAGAAUCGCUUGUACCCGGGAGGCAGAGGUUGCAGUGAGCUGAGACCGCGCCAUUGACUCCUGCCUGAUGACAAGAGAGAAUCUACGUCUCAACAACAACAACACGCUUGGGCACUGUAUUAACUCCAUAAUCGGUUUAUUCAUAAUGCUGCAUCAUCCAACCAUCAUCCAACCUAUUUAUCAUUCACAAUGCCACCUGUGAAUACUGGCUUCCAUUGACUCUUUCAAGAAUUGCUACUGGGCCUCACCAAUGUUGACCACAAAUGCAAGUCAUACUGAGAGCCUCUGUGCUCUUUCCCCUGUGGACAAUAACUACCAUUUCAUCCUGGACACCCAUUGUUUGCCUGGACCACACCUUGUUAUGACCAUAACCCUCAGUCAGACUCAACCUUCCUUCAAGAUCUGCAGAUCUAAAUUUUAUUGGGAACAGCUAGUUUGACAAGCAUAGACCAGAUGUCCAGUUGUCAUUCAUUCAGCAGGAGCAGCAAGAUUCAAUCAUGUUUUUAUUAUAUUAUUUCCUGAAACUUGUGGCUGUAACAAUGAAGUUUGAGGAUUGGUCUGUGUAAGUAUGGCAGAAGUGAUGUUAAGUCGCUUAUGAGAUUAGGGUAUAAAAGACUAAGGCUUCCAUGCUUCCAUCUUGGUCUCUGUCUCUCAGAGAACAGUCAUGUGAAUGAUUCUUCUUGAAAGUAAAUCUUCCAGCCCCAGUCCAGUAUUCAAAUGAUCCAGCAACAUUGCAACUUAUGAGAGACCUUGAGCCAUCCAGGUAACAUGCUUCCAAAUCCUGACCCUUAAAACCUGUAAAAUAAUAAAUGUGGUUUUAAACUCUUAAGUAAUUUGUUACAUAGUAAUAAAUAGCUAAUACACC
rnacentral:lncRNA from 1 species